rnacentral:rRNA from 1 species
UGGGGGAUAUUGCACAAUGGGCGAAAGCCUGAUGCAGCGACGCCGCGUGGGGGAUGAAGGCUUUCGGGUUGUAAACCUCUUUCGCUAUCGAACAUGGCCCGCUUAGGGUGGGUUGAGGGUAGGUGGAGAAGAAGCGCCGGCUAACUACGUGCCAGCAGCCGCGGUAAUACGUAGGGCGCGAGCGUUGUCCGGAAUUAUUGGGCGUAAAGGGCUUGUAGGCGGCUUGUUGCGCCUGCUGUGAAAACGCGGGGCUUAACUUCGCGCGUGCAGUGGGUACGGGCAGGCUUGAGUGUGGUAGGGAUGACUGGAAUUCCAGGUGUAGCGGUGGAAUGCGCAGAUAUCUGGAGGAACACCGAUGGCGAAGGCAGGUCACUGGGCCAUUACUGACGCUGAGGAGCGAAAGCAUGGGUAGCGAACAGG